UACGUAGGGGGCAAGCGUUGUCCGGAAUCAUUGGGCGUAAAGAGCGUGUAGGCGGUUCGGUAAGUCGGCUGUGAAAGUCCAGGGCUCAACCCUGGGAUGCCGGUCGAUACUGCCGGACUAGAGUUCGGAAGAGGCGAGUGGAAUUCCCGGUGUAGCGGUGAAAUGCGCAGAUAUCGGGAGGAACACCUAUGGCGAAGGCAGCUCGCUGGGACGGUUACUGA
rnacentral:rRNA from 1 species